CGCCGAAAGACCAAGGGUUCCUGCGCAACGUUAAUCGACGCAGGGUUAGUCGGUUCCUAAGGCGAGGCUGAAAAGCGUAGUCGAUGGGAAACAGGUUAAUAUUCCUGUACUUCUGGUUACUGCGAUGGAGGGACGGAGAAGGCUAGGCCAGCUUGGCGUUGGUUGUCCAAGUUUAAGGUGGUAGGCUGAAAUCUUAGGUAAAUCCGGGGUUUCAAGGCCGAGAGCUGAUGACGAGUCGUCUUUUAGAUGACGAAGUGGUUGAUGCCAUGCUUCCAAGAAAAGCUUCUAAGCUUCAGGUAACCAGGAACCGUACCCCAAACCGACACAGGUGGUCGGGUAGAGAAUACCAAGGCGCUUGAGAGAACUCGGGUGAAGGAACUAGGCAAAAUGGCACCGUAACUUCGGGAGAAGGUGCGCCGGCUAGGGUGAAGGAUUUACUCCGUAAGCUCUGGCUGGUCGAAGAUACCAGGCCGCUGCGACUGUUUAUUAAAAACACAGCACUCUGCAAACACGAAAGUGGACGUAUAGGGUGUGACGCCUGCCCGGUGCCGGAAGGUUAAUUGAUGGGGUUAGCGCAAGCGAAGCUCUUGAUCGAAGCCCCGGUAAACGGCGGCCGUAACUAUAACGGUCCUAAGGUAGCGAAAUUCCUUGUCGGGUAAGUUCCGACCUGCACGAAUGGCGUAACGAUGGCGGCGCUGUCUCCACCCGAGACUCAGUGAAAUUGAAAUCGCUGUGAAGAUGCAGUGUAUCCGCGGCUAGACGGAAAGACCCCGUGAACCUUUACUGUAGCUUUGCACUGGACUUUGAGCCUGCUUGUGUAGGAUAGGUGGGAGGCUUUGAAGCGUGGACGCCAGUUCGCGUGGAGCCAUCCUUGAAAUACCACCCUGGCAUGCUUGAGGUUCUAACUCUGGUCCGUGAUCCGGAUCGAGGACAGUGUAUGGUGGGCAGUUUGACUGGGGCGGUCUCCUCCUAAAGAGUAACGGAGGAGUACGAAGGUGCGCUCAGACCGGUCGGAAAUCGGUCGCAGAGUAUAAAGGCAAAAGCGCGCUUGACUGCGAGACAGACACGUCGAGCAGGUACGAAAGUAGGUCUUAGUGAUCCGGUGGUUCUGUAUGGAAGGGCCAUCGCUCAACGGAUAAAAGGUACUCCGGGGAUAACAGGCUGAUACCGCCCAAGAGUUCAUAUCGACGGCGGUGUUUGGCACCUCGAUGUCGGCUCAUCACAUCCUGGGGCUGAAGCCGGUCCCAAGGGUAUGGCUGUUCGCCAUUUAAAGUGGUACGCGAGCUGGGUUUAGAACGUCGUGAGACAGUUCGGUCCCUAUCUGCCGUGGACGUUUGAGAUUUGAGAGGGGCUGCUCCUAGUACGAGAGGACCGGAGUGGACGAACCUCUGGUGUUCCGGUUGUCACGCCAGUGGCAUUGCCGGGUAGCUAUGUUCGGAAAAGAUAACCGCUGAAAGCAUCUAAGCGGGAAACUUGCCUCAAGAUGAGAUCUCACUGGGAACUUGAUUCCCCUGAAGGGCCGUCGAAGACUACGACGUUGAUAGGCUGGGUGUGUAAGCGUUGUGAGGCGUUGAGCUAACCAGUACUAAUUGCCCGUGAGGCUUGACCAUAUAACACCCAAACA
rnacentral:rRNA from 1 species